UCAUACUAAGCGGGGCAGUAGCGGCGCCCUGUACCUGAAAUCCGCUAUAGCAGGGUCGAACUCCUCCCUUGAGGCUUGGCGUUGUGUGGUCUGCGCCGUAGGCUUCUGUGUUGAAGAAUGGGUCUUGCGCAAUGGAAAACCGUGAAUCAUGUCAGGUGGGGAACCAAGCAGCAUUAAGCGGUCCUUUCCAUGUGCCGCAAGGACGCCUGUUCGGAGCAGGAACUGCGGUUAACGCGUGUAACGGCAUUGUCGAUUUGGGGGUGUAUGA
rnacentral:SRP_RNA from 1 species